UUAAAUUGAAGAGUUUGAUCAUGGCUCAGAUUGAACGCUGGCGGCAGGCCUAACACAUGCAAGUCGAACGGUAACAGGAAGCAGCUUGCUGCUUUGCUGACGAGUGGCGGACGGGUGAGUAAUGUCUGGGAAACUGCCUGAUGGAGGGGGAUAACUACUGGAAACGGUGGCUAAUACCGCAUAACGUCGCAAGACCAAAGAGGGGGACCUUCGGGCCUCUUGCCAUCAGAUGUGCCCAGAUGGGAUUAGCUUGUUGGUGAGGUAACGGCUCACCAAGGCGACGAUCCCUAGCUGGUCUGAGAGGAUGACCAGCCACACUGGAACUGAGACACGGUCCAGACUCCUACGGGAGGCAGCAGUGGGGAAUAUUGCACAAUGGGCGCAAGCCUGAUGCAGCCAUGCCGCGUGUAUGAAGAAGGCCUUCGGGUUGUAAAGUACUUUCAGCGGGGAGGAAGGUGUUGUGGUUAAUAACCACAGCAAUUGACGUUACCCGCAGAAGAAGCACCGGCUAACUCCGUGCCAGCAGCCGCGGUAAUACGGAGGGUGCAAGCGUUAAUCGGAAUUACUGGGCGUAAAGCGCACGCAGGCGGUCUGUCAAGUCGGAUGUGAAAUCCCCGGGCUCAACCUGGGAACUGCAUUCGAAACUGGCAGGCUUGAGUCUUGUAGAGGGGGGUAGAAUUCCAGGUGUAGCGGUGAAAUGCGUAGAGAUCUGGAGGAAUACCGGUGGCGAAGGCGGCCCCCUGGACAAAGACUGACGCUCAGGUGCGAAAGCGUGGGGAGCAAACAGGAUUAGAUACCCUGGUAGUCCACGCCGUAAACGAUGUCUACUUGGAGGUUGUGCCCUUGAGGCGUGGCUUCCGGAGCUAACGCGUUAAGUAGACCGCCUGGGGAGUACGGCCGCAAGGUUAAAACUCAAAUGAAUUGACGGGGGCCCGCACAAGCGGUGGAGCAUGUGGUUUAAUUCGAUGCAACGCGAAGAACCUUACCUGGUCUUGACAUCCACAGAACUUUCCAGAGAUGGAUUGGUGCCUUCGGGAACUGUGAGACAGGUGCUGCAUGGCUGUCGUCAGCUCGUGUUGUGAAAUGUUGGGUUAAGUCCCGCAACGAGCGCAACCCUUAUCCUUUGUUGCCAGCGAUUAGGUCGGGAACUCAAAGGAGACUGCCAGUGAUAAACUGGAGGAAGGUGGGGAUGACGUCAAGUCAUCAUGGCCCUUACGACCAGGGCUACACACGUGCUACAAUGGCGCAUACAAAGAGAAGCGACCUCGCGAGAGCAAGCGGACCUCAUAAAGUGCGUCGUAGUCCGGAUUGGAGUCUGCAACUCGACUCCAUGAAGUCGGAAUCGCUAGUAAUCGUGGAUCAGAAUGCCACGGUGAAUACGUUCCCGGGCCUUGUACACACCGCCCGUCACACCAUGGGAGUGGGUUGCAAAAGAAGUAGGUAGCUUAACCUUCGGGAGGGCGCUUACCACUUUGUGAUUCAUGACUGGGGUGAAGUCGUAACAAGGUAACCGUAGGGGAACCUGCGGUUGGAUCACCUCCUUACCUUAAAGAAGC
rnacentral:rRNA from 4 species